rnacentral:rRNA from 1 species
UACGAAGGGGGCUAGCGUUGUUCGGAGUUACUGGGCGUAAAGGGCGCGUAGGCGGCGCACCAAGUCAGGCGUGAAAGCCCUGGGCUCAACCCGGGAAUUGCGCUUGAGACUGGUGUGCUCGAGUACGGGAGAGGAUAGUGGAAUUCCCAGUGUAGAGGUGAAAUUCGUAGAUAUUGGGAAGAACACCGGUGGCGAAGGCGGCUAUCUGGACCUAACUGACGCUGAGGCGCGAAAGCGUGGGGAGCAAACAGG